AUCCCUGUGUGAAGGGAAUUCAGACGUUGCCCUUCUGACCUCCACAAUCGCUUCGGAACUAAGUUCCGUCUCAGUCACACUCUCACACACACAUAGGCAACCGAAUCCCACCCAACCGAACGGUAUACGCCUUAAAUACUUACGACUCCGUCG